rnacentral:rRNA from 1 species
GGACCGGGCCGGCGCGCCCGCCUCACGGCGGGCCGUGCCGACCGGGCCAUCCUCGCCCCGAAGGGCGCGGCCUUCACUGGUCCGCGUUCCGGAGGAGCGUCCUUUACUGUGAAAAAAUUAGAGUGUUUAAAGCAGGCUCCCCGCUUGAAUACAUUAGCAUGGAAUAAUGAGAUAGGACUUCGGUGCUAUUUUGUUGGUUGCGUACCGAGGUA